rnacentral:ncRNA from 2 species
CUGAAUAUUGUGGGAACAGGUGCUCCCCUACGUUCGCGUAUCGGAGCUUAAAAGGGAAGCCGGUGAAAAACCGGCGCGGUCCCGCCACUGUAACGGAGGAGUUUUACGCCAUACUUAGCCACUGAUCUGCGGAUUGGGAAGGCCGGCGCAAAACCAUGAUUCCGGAGCCAGGAGACCUGCCUGUUCUGACAGCACUGC